UCUGCCGGGGGCAGGGCCUGGCAUUAUCACCACUUCCGGGGGCGCAGGAAAUGCGUGGUCUCCGGGAUGGUCACGGGGUCCUACGCGGCCAAUCCCCUCGCAGCUAAGUUGCCAGGCAACGCCCUGGAGCCUGCGGGGCGGGCGGGGUCUGGGAGCCUGGAGGAAGCGAGAGCUUUGGCGCAGGCCGCCUGCGCGCUGUGCCAGGAAGAUGCUUGGAGAAAACGUCCGGCCCCCCGACCUGGGACAGGAAGUGAUGGAGCACGGACUUAGUUUGCCUUUCAGUUCUUGUAUAAAAAGUUUUGAGUUCCUAGGGUUGUCUCUGAGUUUUCACCCAGUUGUCUACCAAGAUGUUGAAUGGACCCAGAGCCAAGGACGUGGUCUUUUAUCAGUGGCAGCUGAGACUCUCUUCCCUGUGGACGCAAAUCCAUUAUUCAGCACUCUGGGCACAGCUACAGAUCUGAUCAGCUAUCCAUUCUCCAAACUAUCUCAUCCUCUGUCCCAUUUUUCUGUCUCUCUUGUCCACAAGGCAUAUACCUGAGAGUUUUCAAAUUCCUCAGAGAAAUUUGGAUAUUCUGUGGCUUUGGCAUUCACCUAAUGUGUUAAUCUACAAACCGUUUUUACAGUGUGGAUUUUUUUUUCAUGAUGUGAAUUCAAGUGGUUUCUAAUGUUCUCUUCAUAAAGUUGUAAACCAAAAAUAAAAUUCUAAGGCCCCACCCCA